AUGGCGGCCGGCGGCGGCGGCGGAGGCGGCGGCAGCAAGGCCUCCUCGUCGGCUGGGGCCCUGGAAUCUUCGCUGGAUCGCAAAUUUCAGUCGGUGACCAACACGAUGGAAUCCAUCCAGGGCCUGUCGUCCUGGUGCAUCGAGAACAAGAAGCACCACAGCACCAUCGUCUACCACUGGAUGAAGUGGCUUCGCAGAUCUGCCUUUCCACACCGACUGAAUCUCUUUUACCUGGCCAAUGAUGUUAUACAGAACUGCAAACGGAAAAAUGCAAUCAUAUUCCGCGAAUCAUUUGCUGAAGUGCUUCCUGAAGCUGCCUCUUUGGUGAAGGAUCCAUCUGUCUCUAAGUCUGUAGAACGGAUUUUUAAAAUCUGGGAAGAGAGAAAUGUAUACCCUGAAGAAACGAUUGUGGUACUAAAAGAAGCUUUGAGUACCACUUUCAAAACUCAGAAGCAGCUGAAAGAAAAUCUGAACAAACAACCGAAUAAGCUGUGGAAGAAAUCACAAACCUCCACCAACCCUAAAGCUGCUCUCAAGUCUAAGAUAGUCGCCGAAUUUCGAUCCCAGGCUCUCAUUGAUGAACUACUGCUAUACAAGCGUUCUGAGGACCAGAUUGAACUGAAGGAGAAGCAGCUGGCCACUAUGCGAGUAGAUGUGUGCAGUACAGAGACCCUGAAGUGCUUAAAAGAUAAAACCGGUGGGAAAAAGUUUUCCAAAGAAUUUGAAGAGGCAAGCUCCAAACUGGAAGAGUUUGUGAAUGGCUUAGACAAGCAGGUGAAGAAUGGGCCCUCCCUGACAGAGGCACUGGAGAAUGCUGGAGUUUUCUAUGAAGCACAGUACAAGGAAGUCAAAGUGGUGGCCAAUGCAUAUAAAACCUUCGCUAACAGAGUGAACAAUUUAAAGAAGAAACUAGAUCAGCUUAAGUCAACCCUGCCUGAUCCUGAAGAAUCUCCAGUCCCUUCACCAAGCAUGGAUGCCCCCUCACCAACUGGUUCUGAGUCCCCUUUCCAGGGAAUGGGAGGAGAGGAGUCCCGCUCACCAGCUGUGGAGAGUGAGAAAUCAGCCACCCCUGAGCCUGCUACGGACAACCGGGAUGUAGAAGACAUGGAACUCUCUGAUGUGGAGGACGAUACGUCCAAAAUCAUCGUGGAGGACAGGAAGGAAAAACCUGUUGAGAAACCAGCUAUAUCCACAUCUGCACCCACAAAACUAACAGAAAGUGUCCCAAAGGCAGCACCGUGCACCACAGCUUCUGUGGCUGUGACAUCAACUCCACCACCACCACCACCAAAACCCAUGAGCACAUCAGUUCUGCCCCCUUCUCCUGCCCUGGCUUUGCCGAAUCUAGCCAAUGUGGAUCUGGCAAAGAUCAGUUCCAUCCUUAGCAGUCUAACAUCCGUCAUGAAGAAUACAGGGGUCAGUCCUGCAUCAAGACCGUCUCCAGGCACUCCUACCAGCCCCACACACCUCCCGGGCAACCUGAAAGCGCCUGUUCCUGCUACAACAACAUCUCACAAUCCUCUGGCCAACAUCCUCUCAAAGGUGGAAAUCACCCCAGAGAGCAUUCUCUCUGCCCUUUCCAAAACUCAAACGCAGGCAGCACCUGCACUGCAAGGCCUGUCAUCCUUACUUCAGAGUGUUACUGGGAACCCAGUUGCUUCCAGUGAAGCUGCAUCCCAGAGCACUUCAUCUUCCCCAGCCAACACCAGCAUCUCCAGCAUGAAAGGGAGGAGUUUGCCCUCUAAUACACAGUCCUUUAUGCCCAAAAGCUUUAGCUAUUCUCCUAAUUCUUCAAAUUCUGAGGUUUCUUCAACUUCAGUUAGCAAGAUUCCUGUAGGACACAACCCAGGACUCCCAACCUCAAGUUUUAAGCCACCAUCCAACUCACUGGGAUUUUCUGCUCCCCACAGUGCAAAUCCUGCUAUUCCAUCAACUGAACCUGCUAUGGGGCAGUCCUCUGAGAUCUCUAAGCCAAAGCUAGAGUCAGAGCCCACCUCCCCAAGCCUAGAGAUGAAGAUCCAUAACUUUUUGAAAGGUAACCCUGGCUUCAGUGGGUUAAACCUGAACAUCCCAAUUCUCAGCAGCUUGGGGGCUAGUAUUCCAGCCGAGAACCAUCCCUCUGACUUUCAGCGAGGCCCAACAAGCACUUCCAUGGACAACAUUGAUGGAACUCCUGUCCGGGAUGAACGGAGUGGAACUCCUACCCAGGAUGAGAUGAUGGACAAGCCUACAUCCAGUAAUGUGGAUACUAUGUCCUUGCUGUCCAAAAUCAUUAGUCCUGGCUCUUCCACACCCAGCAGUACAAGGUCACCACCCCCAGGGAGGGAUGAUAGCUAUUCCCAAGAGCUAUCUAACUCUGUAUCUUCCUAUCGGCCUUUUGGCCUAGGCAGCGAAUCCCCCUACAAGCAAACUUCUGAUGGAAUGGAGAGGCCUUCCUCCCUCAUGGAUUCACCACAGGAAAAGUUCUACCCAGAUACCUCUUUCCAGGAGGAUGAGGAUUACAGAGAUUUUGAAUACUCAGGCCCCCCUCCAUCGGCCAUGAUGAAUCUAGAGAAGAAGCCAGCUAAGUCUAUCCUAAAAGCAAGCAAACUUUCUGACACCGAGUACCAGCCCAUCAUGUCCAGCUACAGCCACAGGACACAGGAAUUUGGUGUGAAGUCUGCCUUCCCUCCAGCAAUGAGGGCUCUCCUGGACCCAAGUGAGAGUUGUGACCAUCUCUCCUCUUCUCCUGGCCUGUAUGGUGCCUAUAACCUAAGAGGGAAUGAGUCUGGGUCAGACCGGUCACCAUCACCGAGUAAGAAUGAUUCCUUUUUCUCUCCUGACUCCAACCACAGUAGCCUUUCUCAGUCUACCACUGCACAUCUCGGCUUACCCCAGAAGCAGUACCCAGACUCUCCUCACUCAAUCCCACACCGCUCCCUUUUCUCUCCUCAGAGCACCCUUGCCACUCCCACAGGCCGGCCACCCACUUCAGGCGUGGAAAAAGUCCUGGCCUCCACCAUUUCUACCACUUCAACAAUUGAGUUUAAGAAUAUGCUCAAAAAUGCCUCACGCAAGCCCUCCGAUGAUAAGCAUUUUGGCCAGGCCCCCAGCAAGGGUAGCACCGGUGAUGGGGUCAGCCUCGCCAGCCUCGUCCAACCCAGCUUGAGUUCCAGUGAUCAGCAGCAGCAGCAGCCAGAGGAGCACUACCGCAUAGAAACCCGAGUCUCCUCUUCCUGCUUAGACUUACCAGAUAGUACUGAGGAGAAAGGGGCCCCCAUAGAAACCUUGGGUUACCAUAAUGCCUCCAACAGGAGGAUGUCAGGGGAGCCCAUCCAGACAGUAGAGUCCAUCCGGGUGCUGGGGAAAGGGAAUAGAGGACAUGGGCGUGAGCCUUCUAGGGUGGGUUGGUUUGAGCUGAGCCCCUCGGGCAGCUCCUUUGACAAUGGCCCCUCGAGUGCCUCAGAGCUGGCCCCCCUCGGGGGUGGGAGUGGAGGGGGGCUUUCUGGCUUCAAAACAGCGGCAUACAAGGAGCGGGCACCCUCAUUUCAGGAAAGUGUCGGCUUUCGCUCCAGCAACUUCAACUCUACUUUUGAACACCAUCUCCCCCCACCCCCCUUGGAGCAUGGGGCACCCUUCCAGAGAGAGCCUAUGGGGCCAUCAUCUGCUCCGCCUGUUCCCUCUAAGGAGCAUGGUGGGCUCUUUUCUCGGGAUACUCCCGGCCACCUGGCCUCUGUGGAUCUUUCGAACCCCUUCACAAAGGAAGCAGCCCUAGCCCAUGGUGCCCCACCCCCUCCUCCUGGGGAUCAUAGUGGGGUUCCCUUCUCUACUCCACCUCCUCCUCCGCCCCCUGGGGAGCACAGCAGCAGUGGUGGCAGUGGCGUCCCUUUUUCUAACCCUCCCCCUCCUCCCCCUGUUGACCACUCAGGGGUGGUCUCCUUCCAAGCCCCACCCCUGGCAGAGCACAGCGGAGUGCCGGGGCCUGUCGCAGUGUUCUCCAAGGAGCAUAGCUCCCUCCUCCAAGGGAAUCUGGCUGAGCAUUUUGGAGUGCUCCCAGGACCCCGGGACCCCACACAGAGGGACCUCAAUGGCCCUGGCCUCAGCCGUGUUCGUGAGGGCCUAAGCCUGCCCACACAUUCUCGGGAGCACCUAGGCCCAACCCACGGAGGAGGUGGGGGAGGCAGCAGCAACAGUGGCCCUGCCUUGGGUGCCCCACACAGAGACACCAUCAGCCGGAGUGGGAUGAUCUUACGGAACCCCCGGCCAGACUUUCGGCCUAGGGAAUCUUUUCUCAACAGAGACCCAUUUCACAGCUUAAAGAGGCCCAGGCCACCUUUUGCUAGGGGCCCUCCGUUCUUUGCACCAAAACGCCCAUUCUUCCCUCCCAGACAUCAUAUGACUCCCAGGACCAAUGGUGAAAUCAACAGCACGAAACCAGAAGAAGGAAGCCUGGAUAUGUCUCUGAAGACAGGGUUGCAUUUCCUUUUGCUUUAGAGAUGUUUGUUGUGCACACUUGUGGACCUACACAAGAGGUGUUGUAGACCAGUGGUGUCAGACUCAAACAGAAACAGACUGUUCAGCAGGUCAGAAGACAGAGCCAAGAUCUGGGGUCCUGGAUCUGUGACUCGGGCCAAAGACUCCAACUCCUC